GGCUCAGGAUGAACGCUGGCGGCGUGCCUAAUACAUGCAAGUCGAGCGAACGGACAGGAGUGCUUGCACUCCUUGAAGUUAGCGGCGGACGGGUGAGUAACACGUGGGUAACCUACCUAUAAGACUGGGAUAACUUCGGGAAACCGGAGCUAAUACCGGAUAAUAUAUACCUCCGCAUGGAGGAAUAGUCAAAGACGGUUCUGCUGUCACUUAUAGAUGGACCCGCGGUGUAUUAGCUAGUUGGUGAGGUAACGGCUCACCAAGGCAACGAUACAUAGCCGACCUGAGAGGGUGAUCGGCCACACUGGGACUGAGACACGGCCCAGACUCCUACGGGAGGCAGCAGUAGGGAAUCUUCCGCAAUGGACGAAAGUCUGACGGAGCAACGCCGCGUGAGUGAAGAAGGUUUUCGGAUCGUAAAACUCUGUUGUAAGGGAAGAACAAGUACGUUAGUAACUGAACGUACCUGAC
rnacentral:rRNA from 1 species